rnacentral:rRNA from 1 species
ACGGAAGGCAGCAGUGGGGAAUAUUGGGCAAUGGGCGAAAGCCUGACCCAGCGACGCCGCGUGAGGGAAGAAGGUCUUCGGAUUGUAAACCUUAGUCAACAGGGAAGAAGCAAGUGACGGUACCUGUGGAGGAAGCCACGGCUAACUACGUGCCAGCAGCCGCGGUAAUACGUAGGGGGCAAGCGUUAUCCGGAUUUACUGGGUGUAAAGGGAGCGUAGACGGUUUGGCAAGUCUGAAGUGAAAUGCGGGGGCUCAACUCCUGAACUGCUUUGGAGACUGUCGAACUAGAGUGCAGGAGAGGUAAGUGGAAUUCCUAGUGUAGCGGUGAAAUGCGUAGAUAUUAGGAGGAACACCAGUGGCGAAGGCGGCUUACUGGACUGUAACUGACGUUGAGGCUCGAAAGCGUGGGGAGCAAACAGGAUUAGAUACCCUGGUA